rnacentral:rRNA from 1 species
UAGCCGACCUGAGAGGGNGNCCGGCCACNNUGGGACUGANACACNGCCCANACUCCUACGGGAGGCAGCANUGGGGAAUAUUGCACAAUGGGCGAAAGCCUGAUGCAGCGACGCCGCGUGAGGGAUGACGGCCUUCGGGUUGUAAACCUCUUUCAGCAGGGACGAAGCGMAAGUGACGGUACCUGCAGAAGAAGCACCGGCNAACUACGUGCCAGCAGCCGCGGUAAUACGUAGGGUGCAAGCGUUGUCCGGAAUUACUGGGCGUAAAGAGYUCGUAGGYGGUUUGUCGCGUCGUUUGUGAAANCCNGCNGCUCAACUGCUGGCUUGCNGGCGAUACGGGCAGACUUGAGUACUGCAGGGGAGACUGGAAUUC